ensembl:lincRNA Gm13016 predicted gene 13016
CUGUCCCCAGAAGCAUGAAAACAUGGCAGACGGAACGUAAAUGGACAAAAGGAGACUAAAGCUGAAGAGAAGAGAUUACAGAACUCGAAGCUACCAUAUACUGAGUUACAGAAGAGUGGCCAGCUCUGUCACCUUGACACUACCUGGAGUCACCUUGACACUACCCGGAAUCACCUAGGAAGAGUCUCAGGGAGAGACUGUCUACAGUGGGUUGACGUGCUUGAUGUAACCAGCCACCUCCUGCUCCAGCUUCCAUGCCUUUGCCGCCAUGAUGGGCCACGCCCUUAACCUCGAGCAAAAACUAAGCCUUCCUUCCACUGCUUUUUGUGAGGUAUUUGAUCACGGCAAUGAAAAGAGAAACCGAUACAGCAUUUUCUUCACUCGCAAACAGAAAGGGCAUCGUGGAUAUAGAGACACCUCUCAUCAAAUGACCCGUUAACGCCAUGCCAGGCAAAUGAGAGGUGGCCGGCAACGGCAACAGGCAAAACCUCAAAGAGAAAACCGGAGGUCCAACCGUGGGAAGCUAAGCCUUGUGACUACCUGCUCAGCACAGGUUCGAACAUUGCUUCCAGACUUUUAAGUUCUGCAUCUCUGAGGAGGUUAACUAAUCCCUCAGGGCCCCUGUCUCCUCCUCUGUGAAAUGGGGUUAGCUAUGCCAGCUUUCAGGUUAGGGGGCCAGCAAGGACAUCUGUGGCACCUGAGUCCUGAACUCCUAGCCCAGGUCCGACUGACAAGAUAGCAGCCUCCUGAAUCCAUCCCCUUCCUAUCUGCAGGGAAAGCUGACUCUCCAGUGGAAAUCGGCUUGCCUGGGGUCAGACCAGGCCCCAGGGUUCCGGUUUAUGACACUGGCCACCGCUUAAGACUGCAGCCCACUGCAGUUUCAUUCUCAUGAAUCAGUUAGCGUGUGGGGAAGUGAGGUGCGUUUAAAUACAGUCUCUCCCAGCAUCUGUCGGUCUUGUCCCUAGAUCAAGGUCAAAGCCAUGCAUAGAAAAGACAGGGGAUGCCCUCUCUGUUCCUCUCUUCCUCCCUUCUACCCACCCUUUCUCUCCCACGAUGCUCAAUACAGCUCAGUUCCCUUCUGCUGGGACAGUGGGGAGUGUGAUGAUUCGAAUAGAAUGAGCCCCUUCCUGGGAAAGAGUUGGGCAGGAUGGUCUUCACUCCUCCAUGCCCAGAGCCUGGCCCCCUGCCUUUACUCUAAGGGACAACAAUGGCUUCUCUUGUACCCUGCACAGGUGGCUGACCUGCCCAGCAUAGACACCACCUGCCACCCUCUCCCCUGCCCGUGAGGGACACUCAGCCAAGAGACCCAGCCUCACAGGGGCUCAGGGUGGCAGAUGUGAACUAUGUCCCAGUUCAGAUCUCUUGGGCCUACCUCUUGCCACCGUGGACCACAUGACAUGGGAUGCCCUCAGAGUUACGAUGUGCGCAUAUGCGCGCGCGCGCACGCACACACACACACACACACACACACACACACACACACACACACACACACACAUGCAUUCUCUACUCUAGGAUGGCACAGGUGCAGGGAGCGGGUGACUGAGGAAGCCUUUGGACAGAGGCAGAUGGAAGCCGGUGGGGAGCCACUUCCCAUCUUCCUAGCAAUCUGGAGAGACGUGUUCCUUGCUUCUUAUAAGUCCUCCAGGACCCAGCGACCAAUCACCCACAGCAGGGACCCUUCCACAACAAAACUCAUUACCCUCCUAAACCACUGUGGCU